rnacentral:rRNA from 1 species
CACGUAGGGGACGAGCGUUGUCCGGAUUCAUUGGGCGUAAAGAGCUCGUAGGCGGUUCGGCAAGUCGGGUGUGAAAACUCCAGGCUCAACCUGGAGACGCCACCCGAUACUGCUGUGACUCGAGUCCGGUAGGGGACCACGGAAUUCCUGGUGUAGCGGUGAAAUGCGCAGAUAUCGGGAGGAACACCAGUGGCGAAGGCGACUACCUGGCCUGUUCUUGACGCUGAGGCGCGAAAGCUAGGGGAGCAAACGGG